rnacentral:lncRNA from 1 species
UCUGAUGUGCGUUACAUGCACAUGCACGUAUGUGCCUGUCCCUGACAUGGCUGCACGGAGGCUCUAGCGCCUCCAACCAGGGGAGCCCCUGCAGCCCGUGCGACCAUCACGCCCAAGGUGGCGGCGCCACGCACUAGUGCAACCCUACAGUAUUUGCUAUUGGUAACACUGCCACCAUGACCGCUACAUCAAUCCAGCACAGCUCCUAGCACCACAGAGCCAUCCUACAUCUAGCGCUGUCUGCACAGUGGUUCGGGCGCCGUGGCGGUGUGCCCUGCGAGCACAUACACAUAGCGCCGGAUGUAGAGGCACGUAUGCAUGAUUGCGGUGCUACAAGGGGGGACAACCCGAGCAUGCAGUGUGCACCCAGGGGCCAUGCGGCAUGCACCCUUACAUAUAGACCCUGCCAACACCCUGUCGCCCACCUUCUGAGCAAUACCAACGCCGACUCUGAUACAUACGUCACGACGAUGGAUC